UCUGCGCGCGGCUGGCGGAGACUCCAGCCUGAAACUGCGGGAGCUUGGAGUCCCGCAACAGGUUUUUCCGGUUUGAAUUAAGCAAAGGCCUGAGCACAAGGCAAGUGAGCAAAUCCUGCAAAGUUGAGAUUUUUCUCCGUGAUGAAAUGUGUAUCUGAGCCAAUUCAAACCCAGUAUUGCUCUCCUUCUCCCUCCCUUCUCUCCAUCUGGAAAUUAAAAGAAUGUGGUAAUGUAGAAACCGGGUCUUAGUUGCAGCAUGUGGGAUGUAGUUCUCGA